UUGUUUGCUCUUGGAGCAUCAUCAAGAUUCACAUGGUUUAUGGGGUUUUGGUUUAGGGUGGUCCUAGAUUGCUUCAAAUCAAUCAUAGCCCUUUGAUAUGAGAAUCUUGAUGAUGCUGCAGCGGCAAUAAA